rnacentral:rRNA from 1 species
GCCGAACCGUGCAAACGUUAUUCGGAAUCACUGGGCGUAAAGCGCACGUAGGCGGAUGUGUCAGUCAGGGGUGAAAUCCCGGAGCUCAACUUCGGAACUGCCUUUGAUACAGCACGUCUUGAGUCCGAUAGAGGUGGGUGGAAUUCCUAGUGUAGAGGUGAAAUUCGUAGAUAUUAGGAAGAACACCGGUGGCGAAGGCGGCCCACUGGAUCGGUACUGACGCUGAGGUGCGAAAGCGUGGGGAGCAAACAGG